AUUAUCCUCUUAAGGAUCGUACCCUUUUUUUCAAUUUUCACCUAAAAUAACAUCUAAGGAUAUGCAUAUUAUUGAUACCAUUGAAAGGAAACACUUUGAAGUUUGUGGAAAUGUGAAAUUAAUGUAGGAUAAUAUGACACUUCAGAUGUGGUAAAAGACAAAAAAGCAUGUUUUUGUUUGUAUUACUUUCAGAUAGGAGUCUAGGUGUAAUGUCUUGUGCAUACCCAGCCUCUCACACAUGGUGGCGAACACACGGGACUCAACGUUUCUGCCUUGGAUGGACUCUGCAGCUCCAAACCUGCUGAACAUCCCCGCUGUCAGGGCGUUGACGAUGGUCUCUGUGCUGCCAUCCUGUUAGAAGGUAACAGAUUAUUUUAUUACAAUGGUUAAAUUGGAUUUUCAUUGUGUUCAAUGGUGUUAUUUGCCCCCUAGUGGCGCUUUCUGGUACUUAGAAAGACGACGCAAACAGGAAGUACAGAAUUUGUUUUGCACGCAUAGAGCAGCUACAAACAACGCUACGUUGCAGGUCUUUCAAUGUAGUUAUUUCUUGUCACGCUUCAGCCUUGGAAAAAUAUUUGUUUUUUCACAACAUAAACGUUUUCAAUAUAUUAAUUCAAGAAAAGUCACGCCUUGGGAGUUUUAUUGAAGACUUAGUUGUUAGCUAUCUGUCUAGUUUUGCAUGGGAACGCAACUCAAGGGCAGAAUAGUCUCUGCCUCCUGGUCAGGCAGAGCCUAGGCCUUGGGCAAUUUUGUGAAAUAGUCCAUGGCCGUGAGCACCCAGCGGUUUCCACUGUCUGUGGUGGGGAAUGGCCCAACUACAUCCACUCCCACCCUCUCCAUGGGAGCCCCCACUGGAACUGUUGGAGAUGAGCUUGAGAGCGGCCUGGGGGGCCCUUUCUCGCUGUGCAGUUGUCACAGCGACGGCAAAAGUCCUCCACAUCCCUCUUGUGCUGCCCCCAGUAAAGGCCCUGACGGAGGCGGUACAGUGGCCCCAAAGUUUCCAGUCCCCACCACUCCAUGAGUACUCUGGAGCACAGCCUCCCGCAAUGCUUUUGGGACCACCACCUGCCACCUCUCCUCUCCCGUAGCCGACUCCUUCCAUGCCCGCUGUAGCACACCAUCAACCAGCCGCAGUCUCUCAAACUUUGACCACAACCCUUUGGUCGCGAGUGAGAGCACUGUCACCUCUUCCCAUGGUGGCCUCACCUGCACCUCUACCCACAGUAGCACUGGCUGUAGGUCUGUGUCCCGUCCCUGCUGCUGCCCCCAUUCAGCCACGUCGACAGUCUGCAGCUCACAGCAGACAGGCCCGCUUGCCCGACACACUGUGGCACAGACCCCCUCCUCUGCACACAGCUCUCUCUCCCGUCCCUCAAUACAGCAGAAUUUUUUGUGGUACUCUUCCCCAGAUUUGUGCCUCGACACAAUCCUGUCUCGAAGCUCUACUGACAAUUCCUUCGACCUCAUGGCUUGGUUUUUGCUUUGACAUGCACUGUCAACUGUGGGACCUUAUAUAGACAGGUGUGUGCCUUUCCAAAUUCUGUCCAAUCAAUUGAAUUUACCACAGGUGGACACCAAUCAAGUUGUAGAAACAUUUCAAGGAUGAUCAAUGGAAAAAGGAUGCACCUGAGCUCAAUUUCGAGUCUCGUAGCAAAGGGUCUGAAUACUUAUUUCAUUAAGUUAUUUCUGUUUUAAUACAUUUGCAAACAUUUCUAAACCUGUUUUCACUUUGUCAUUAUGUGUGUAGAUUGAGAAAAAUACAUAAUUUAAUCAAUUUUAUAAAUGGACAAGUAGGCGCGCAAUUGAUUAUAGUCAUUGUAGUUCCCAUGUUUUUGAUGCUAAUCUAUGUAGAAUAUUCUCCUGUUUAAAAAAACAAAAAAUAACAAAUGUUAAUUGCUCAGCACUUAAUUGCUCAGCACCUACUUCUGUUUACCACAGAGAGCAUUUGAUUCUCUGCCCUCCUCAACCGUUUAUGGCUGGCAAAGUACCAGGAUGUUAUCUUUUGUUUUGAAUCCGAAUUUAGAACUGAAUUGAAUCUGAAUAUCUGAGAAGUUCAAUAUUUGAAACUUUUGUGAAAUUUAAGUGAUAGUUUGUGAACUUGAUACACAGAAAAUUAAUGCUAUAUUUAUAUAUAUAUAUAUUUAAACUCAAUAUAUAAAUAUUAUUACAUUGACAUUUAAUUCAGUUUGAAAUCAUGAUAUCAAAGUUCAAUUUAUGAAUUCAAUGAUUCAAUUUGGGCAUUACAAAUUAAAAAAUGUUGAAUUCAAAUACAA